CCCUUAGAUGUUCUGGGCCGCACGCGUGCUACACUGAACGGUUCAAUGGGUAAGGUAGUGCGAAAGCAUGGCCUAAUCUCGAAAUCCGUUCGUGCUGGGGAUAGAAGCUUGCAAUUAUCCUUCUUGAACGAGGAAUACCUUGUAAGCGUGAGUCAUCAUCUCACGCUGAAUACGUCCCUGCCCUUUGUACACACCGCCCGUCGCUCCUACCGAUUGAGUGUUCCGGUGAGGCUUCGGGAGAACUGGGUGGAUUGUGUUUCACAAACUGCUCGGUUUGAACUUAGUCAAACCUUAUCACUUAGAGGAAGGAGAAGUCGUAACA
rnacentral:rRNA from 1 species